CUGAGGUCCAUACAACUAGACGCAUAGGAGUGGUCUGACUUCAACGAUAUUACUUAUGUGGAAUCCCUAGUUCCUGGAGGCUGUCCAUACCACACAGGAGGAGUAAGCGGAGUUGACAGGGGAGCUGCAGCGGUCGACUUGCUGCUGUGAGGAUGGCCAGGUCCAGCUGAAACUCAAGAAAGAAUGUGCAUAGAUUCUGAAGAUGAAUCAAGGCUGACAUCCAUGGAGAAUAACAAUUUCCAGUCUAAAGAUGAGGAAAGAGAGAGAUUGCUUCAAGAAAAAGUCCAACAAGUGACAGUGACAAAUUGGUUGGAAGAUUUGAAAGAGUAAGCAUGACUUCCUCUGAUGAUUCAUUGAAAAAUCACCUAGCACAUCACAGCUGAAGAGAAGACUACAAUGUAUAGUUCCUAAACUUCUUCCAGUAUUUUUACCACUAUUAUUGCUGAACUGAAACAUCAUCUGAUAAUUUUGUAGAAUGCUAAG